UACGUAGGUUGCAAGCGUUGUCCGGAUUUACUGGGCGUAAAUAGCGCGCAGGCGGUUGUUUAAGUCGGAUGUGAAAGCCCCCGGCUCAACUGGGGAGGGUCAUUCGAUACUGAUCGACUUGAAGGCAGGAGAGGGAAGUGGAAUUCCGGGUGUAGUGGUGAAAUGCGUAGAUAUCCGGAGGAACACCAGUGGCGAAGGCGACUUCCUGGCCUGUUCUUGACGCUGAGGCGCGAAAGCUGGGGGAGCAAACGGG
rnacentral:rRNA from 1 species